GACAGAGGUGCCGAGCGUUAGGCGGAAUCACUGGGCUUAAAGCGUGUGUAGGCGGACCCGUCAGUGUCUUGUGAAAUCCCACCGCUCAACGGUGGAACGGCUGGGCAUACUGCGGGUCUUGAGGGACCCAGGGGCGAGCGGAACAAGCGGUGGAGCGGUGAAAUGCGUAGAUAUCGCUUGGAACGCCGACGGUGAAAACAGCUCGCUGGGGGUCACCUGACGCUGAGACACGAAAGCCAGGGGAGCGAACGGG
rnacentral:rRNA from 1 species